UAUCGAGAUAACUCCCAACCCAAUGUGAACGUUACCAAACUGUUGCCUCGGCGGGAUCUCUGCCCCGGGUGCGUCGCAGCCCCGGACCAAGGCGCCCGCCGGAGGACCAACCAAAACUCUUAUUGUAUACCCCCUCGCGGGUUUUUUACUAUCUGAGCCAUCUCGGCGCCCCUCGUGGGCGUUUCGAAAAUGAAUCAAAACUUUCAACAACGGAUCUCUUGGUUCUGGCAUCGAUGAAGAACGCAGCGAAAUGCGAUAAGUAAUGUGAAUUGCAGAAUUCAGUGAAUCAUCGAAUCUUUGAACGCACAUUGCGCCCGCCAGUAUUCUGGCGGGCAUGCCUGUCCGAGCGUCAUUUCAACCCUCGAACCCCUCCGGGGGGUCGGCGUUGGGGAUCGGCCCUUUACGGGGCCGGCCCCGAAAUACAGUGGCGGUCUCGCCGCAGCCUCUCCUGCGCAGUAGUUUGCACACUCGCAUCGGGAGCGCGGCGCGUCCACAGCCGUUAAACACCCCAAACUUCUGAAAUGUUGACCUCGGAUCAGGUAGGAAUACCCGCUGAACUUAAGCAUAUCGAAAGCGCGGGGGGGAA
rnacentral:rRNA from 1 species